rnacentral:rRNA from 1 species
UACGGGGGGGGCAAGCGUUGUUCGGAAUUACUGGGCGUAAAGGGCUCGUAGGCGGCCAACUAAGUCGGAUGUGAAAUCCCCGGGCUCAACCUGGGAAUGGCAGUGGAUACUGGGAAGCUAGAGUGUGAUAGAGGAUGGUGGAAUUCCCGGUGGUAGCGGUGAAAUGCGUAGAGAUCCGGAGGAAUACCAGUGGCGCAAGCGGCGCUCUGGGUCGAGCCUGACACUGAGACGCGAAGGCAUGGGGAGCGAA